rnacentral:rRNA from 1 species
AUGUUGAUCACCACUGCCCAGCUGAUGUACAAGCUUGGAGGUAUUGACAAGCCUGUGAUCAAGAGGAUUGAGAAGGAAGCCGCUGAGAUGAACAAGAGGUCAUUCAAGUACACUUGUGUGCUUGACAACCUGAAGGCUAAGUGUGAGAGGGGUAUCACUAUUGAAAUUGCCCUGUGGGAGUUCAAGACCACCAAGUACCACUGCAUGGUCAUCGACGUCCCUAGACACUCAUUUAUCAAGAACACGAUUACUGGUACGUCCUAGGCCGACUGUGAUGUGCGCAUCAUCAACUCCACUACUGCUGGUUCUGAGGUCGGUACCUCCAUGGCUAACUACUCCCAUGAGCAUGCCCUCCUCGCUUUCAAUCUUGGAGUUAAGCAAACCAUCUGUUGUUCCAAUAAGGUAUGA